rnacentral:rRNA from 1 species
CCUACGGGUGGCAGCAGUGAGGAAUAUUGGUCAAUGGACGAGAGUCUGAACCAGCCAAGUAGCGUGAAGGAUGACUGCCCUAUGGGUUGUAAACUUCUUUUAUAAAGGAAUAAAACGAGGCACGUGUGCCUUUUUGCAUGUACUUUAUGAAUAAGGAUCGGCUAACUCCGUGCCAGCAGCCGCGGUAAUACGGAGGAUCCGAGCGUUAUCCGGAUUUAUUGGGUUUAAAGGGAGCGUAGAUGGGUUGUUAAGUCAGUUGUGAAAGUUUGCGGCUCAACCGUAAAAUUGCAAUUGAUACUGGCAGUCGUGAGUACAGUUGAGGUAGGCGGAGUUCGUGGUGUAGCGGUGAAAUGCUUAGAUAUCACGAAGAACCCCGAUUGCGAAGGCAGCUUACUAAACUGUGACUGACAUUGAUGCUCGAAAGUGUGGGUAUCAAACAGGAUUAGAUACCCUAGUAGUC